CCUACGGGUGGCAGCAGUCGAGAAUCAUUCACAAUGGGGGAAACCCUGAUGGUGCGACGCCGCGUGGGGGAAUGAAGGUCUUCGGAUUGUAAACCCCUGUCAUGUGGGAGCAAAUUAAAAAGAUAGUACCACAAGAGGAAGAGACGGCUAACUCUGUGCCAGCAGCCGCGGUAAUACAGAGGUCUCAAGCGUUGUUCGGAAUCACUGGGCGUAAAGCGUGUGUAGGCUGUUUCGUAAGUCGGGUGUGAAAGGCGCGGGCUCAACCCGCGGACGGCACAUGAUACUGCGAGACGAGAGUAAGGGAGGGGGAAGCGGAAGUCGCGGUGUAGCAGUGAAAUGCGUAGAUAUCGAGAGGAACACUCGUGGCGAAGGCGGGUUCCUGGACAUUAACUGACGCUGAGGCACGAAGGCCAGGGGAGCGAAAGGGAUUAGAUACCCCAGUAGUC
rnacentral:rRNA from 1 species